rnacentral:rRNA from 1 species
GGUUAAGUGAAUAAGGGCGCACGGUGGAUGCCUUGGCACUAGGAGCCGAUGAAGGACGGGACUAACACCGAUAUGCUUUGGGGAGCUGUAAGUAAGCUAUGAUCCAGAGAUUUCCGAAUGGGGGAACCCAAUAUCUUUUAUAGGAUAUUACUUUUCAGUGAAUACAUAGCUGAUUAGAGGUAGACGCAGAGAACUGAAACAUCUUAGUACCUGCAGGAAGAGAAAGAAAAUUCGAUUCCCUGAGUAGCGGCGAGCGAAACGGGAAGAGCCCAAACCAACAAGCUUGCUUGUUGGGGUUGUAGGACUCCAAUAUGGUAGUCUGUUAGUAUAGUUGAAGGAUUUGGAAAAUUCCGCUAAAGAGGGUGAAAGCCCCGUAGACGAAAUGCUAACAACACCUAGGAGGAUCCUGAGUACGGCGGAACACGAGAAAUUCCGUCGGAAUCCGCGGGGACCAUCCCGCAAGGCUAAAUACUCCCUAGUGACCGAUAGUGAACCAGUACCGUGAGGGAAAGGUGAAAAGCACCCCGGAAGGGGAGUGAAAUAGAUCCUGAAACCGUGUGCCUACAACAAGUCAAAGCUCGUUAAUGAGUGAUGGCGUGCCUUUUGUAGAAUGAACCGGCGAGUUACGAUUGCAUGCGAGGUUAAGUCGAAGAGACGGAGCCGCAGCGAAAGCGAGUCUGAAUAGGGCGAAUGAGUAUGUAGUCGUAGACCCGAAACCAUGUGAUCUACCCAUGUCCAGGUUGAAGGUGCGGUAAAACGCACUGGAGGACCGAACCCACGUACGUUGAAAAGUGCGGGGAUGAGGUGUGGGUAGCGGAGAAAUUCCAAACGAACUUGGAGAUAGCUGGUUCUCUCCGAAAUAGCUUUAGGGCUAGCCUCGGAAUUGAGAAUGAUGGAGGUAGAGCACUGUUUGGACUAGGGGCCCAUCUCGGGUUACCGAAUUCAGAUAAACUCCGAAUGCCAUUCAUUUAUAUCCGGGAGUCAGACUGCGAGUGAUAAGAUCCGUAGUCGAAAGGGAAACAGCCCAGACCACCAGCUAAGGUCCCAAAAUAUAUGUUAAGUGGAAAAGGAUGUGGGGUUGCACAGACAACUAGGAUGUUGGCUUAGAAGCAGCCACCAUUUAAAGAGUGCGUAAUAGCUCACUAGUCGAGUGACCCUGCGCCGAAAAUGUACCGGGGCUAAACAUAUUACCG